rnacentral:misc_RNA from 1 species
CGGCCAAACAGCUAAUCCCCUUCUCCAAUAAGCCUUCCAGCAGAGGUUUCAAAGCUUUUUCAUCAAGGGGUUUCACAACCCUGACAAGCUCACCAGACACUCCUUUAACUACUGAUGCUGAAAAAGAAUUUUGGUCAACUAGCUCCUCAUUGAGAACAAGUUGAACUCUUUCAUCAACCUCUACAAUCUCCUCAUAAAGAUUCGAGGGUUUUGAUACAGUGAGGUCAAAGAUAUUGGGUCGGGCCUGAUUACCAAUCUGAAGCAGAUCCUUGAACCCACGAGUCACACAAAGUGCAAUCCUUUCACCUUUUCUUUCCAAGAGAGCAUUAGU